rnacentral:rRNA from 1 species
UGAAUACGAGACGCUAAGGCGUCGAAGUAGUGUAUGUCAUACUUCCAAGAAAAGCUUGCACUGUCAUAAAUAGAAAAUGCCUGUACCAUAACCGACACAGGUGGGUAGGUAGAGUAUACUAAGGGGCGCGAGAUAACUCUCUCUAAGGAACUCGGCAAAAUGACUCCGUAACUUCGGGAGAAGGAGUGCCUUAUUUUUAAGGUUGCAAUAACAAGAUCCAAGCAACUGUUUAUCAAAAACACAGGUCUCCGCUAAGUCAUAAGACGAUGUAUGGGGGCUGACGCCUGCCCAGUGCCAGAAGGUUAAAGAAGUUGGUUAGCAUUAGCGAAGCUGAUAACUGAAGCCCUGGUGAACGGCGGCCGUAACAAUAACGGUCCUAAGGUAGCGAAAUUCCUUGUCGGGUAAGUUCCGACCCGCACGAAAGGCGUAAUGAUUUGGAUACUGUCUCGGAGAGGGGCUCGGUGAAAUAGACUUGUCUGUGAAGAUGCGGACUACCUGCACCUGGACAGAAAGACCCUAUGAAGCUUUACUGUAACUUGAAAUUGAAAUUGGACUUUAGUCGCGCAGCAUAGGUGGGAGGCGUUGAUGAUGUUCUUGCGGGAACAUUGGAGCUAUCAGUGAGAUACCACUCUUCUAAUGUUAGAUUUCUAACUUUGAACCAUUAUCUGGUCAGAGAACAGUUUCAGGCGGGCAGUUUGACUGGGGCGGUCGCCUCCCAAAUGGUAACGGAGGCGUACAAAGGUUUCCUCUGAACGGAUAGAAAUCGUAUCUAGAGUGUAAAGGCAUAAGGAAGCUUGACUGUGAGACCUACAAGUCGAGCAGGGACGAAAGUCGGUCUUAGUGAUCUGACGGUACUGAGUGGAAAGGCCGUCACUCAACGGAUAAAAGUUACUCUAGGAUAACAGGCUGAUCUCCCCCAAGAGUUCACAUCGACGGGGAGGUUUGGCACCUCGAUGUCGGCUCAUCGCAUCCUGGGGCGGUAGUACGUCCCAAGGGUUGGGCUGUUCGCCCAUGAAAGCGGUACGCGAGCUGGGUUCAGAACGUCGUGAGACAGUUCGGUCCAUAUCCGGUGUAGGCGUUAGAAUAUUGAGAGGAGCCUUCUCUAGUACGAGAGGACCGAGAAGGACAUACCUCUGGUGUACCAGUUAUCGUGCCAACGGUAAACGCUGGGUAGCUAUGUAUGGAGUGGAUAACCGCUGAAAGCAUCUAAGUGGGAAGCCCACCUCAAGAUGAG